rnacentral:tRNA from 2 species
ACUGUAGGAAAGAAGGGGACCCUAGGAGCUAGCCAGAUUGCCCGUCUGUGGAACCGGAGGUCGGUGGUUCGAGCCCACCCACCUGUACCA